CUGUGUGUCUGUCUCCUCUGACUGUGUGACUUUGCAUAUGUGUGCUGCCUCUCUGCUCCAGCCGUUAAGAGCCCAGUGCUGCUCAGUGUGUGUGCGGGCCCUUCAGAGCCACUCCCACACCAACAACACAAUGAGCCUGAUGUCCCUGCAGCUGUUCCUGCUGGCCCUGGGGCUCCUGGUUCGGGGUUCUUCAGGAGAAAUCAGCCUGACUCAGACUCCUAAAGCUGCAGCUGUGGACAAAGGAGCCUCUGUUACUCUCAGGUGUCAGACCAGUUCAAAUGUAGGGAAUCAUCUCGCCUGGUAUCUUCAGAAAGGCUCAGAAAUUCCAAAGCCCCUGAUAUAUGCUGCUACUUCUCAUCACUCUGGAGUCUCCAGUCGUUUCAGUGGAGGUGGUUCUGGAUCUGAUUAUUCUUUGACCAUCAGUGGAUUUGAGGCUGAAGAUGAAGGAGUUUAUUACUGUCAGCAGGGUUACAGCUUCCCGUUCACACAGUGAAAAAGACUCGUACAAAAACCUCCUCAGACUGAACUGAAACUGUUCACACUUCACUGAGUUUGACACAGAUGCUGCAGAUACUGUGUUCAUUUUUUGAUCAA